rnacentral:lncRNA from 1 species
UGGAGUCUGCUGCAUCUUUUGGCAUAGGCCACGCCCAUUUGCGUCUAGAAUUUUUUUUCGCAAAAUCGCGAAAAACGCAAAACUGUAUUUUCGCUACUCCUCCCACAUUUCUUGACCAAUCAACACCAAACUUUGCACACGACAUCAUCAGACGCACACAAAAGAAGAAAUAUCAACACUUUUUGGAUCCGACCUUCGACGACGAAACGGUAGCGUUUUGAAUAUUGGUUUAUUAGCUAAAUUAGACGUGGAAUAUCAAAAAUCCAAAGAAAUCCAAAAUUAGACAUCGGAUCGAGUCCAAAUUUAACACACAUGUUAGCGCCACCCUUAACGACGUUCGAACAAAAAUUCGGAAAAUUACGCCCUAAGGGGGCGCUAUAAACGAGGAAAUUGUAUAUCUUCUAAUUGGCCAAAGGAAUGUUCUUCAAACUCAAGGGAAACCAUCAAGGGGCAAACCCGAGUCUAUAUAGAAAAUAUGGCCAAGAAUUAUUAAUGUGGGCGGGAGUUAUUUGGCAAAGGGAAAUUGUCUUUGGAAAAUUAAAAAUUUCGCCACAGGGCGGCGCCAAAAAACAACGACAUUGUCUAUCUCCUAUUUGGCCAAGGCGGGAGUUUUUGGCAAAGGAAAAUUGUCUUGGGAAAAUUUCGCCACAGGGCGGCGCCAAAAAACGACGACAUUGUCUAUCUCCUAUUUGGCCAAUGGAAUGUUCUGAAAACGCGUUUUAGGCUAUAACUCCCACACCGAAGCUCCCACAGUAAAAACCUUUAUAUCCACAUGUUGUUCACGGUAGCGUUUUGAAUACUUGCUUCGCGUUGUGCCGGCGAAAUGCACAUUUCUUGUCGCGUUGUGCCGGCGAAAUGCACACUUCUUGGACCCCUGCAUAACUGCUUGCAGUUCUAGUUUAUUAUUAUUAGGGGUCCAAGCCAACAGGUUGGAUCCCUAUUGUUUUUGUAGUGUUUAUUAUUAUACUUACCUCCUUGAAAGUGGUACCGCAGCCCAAACCGUAAAUGGUGCCGACACGCCAAUUGCAUGACUAGAUCCAGAUCCGUGGGGACUACGCAGACGCCAAAAUCCAGACAUGCCGGCCACUAGGUGGCGCUAUACCUAGGAAAACACGUUCGGGGCUAUAACUCCCACACCGAACCUUCCAGAGUCCAAAAACUUGUACCCAAAGAUGCACUGGAGUCUGCUGCAUCUUUUGACCUAGGCCACGCCCAUUUGCGUCCAUGAAUAUUUUUCGCUAAAUCGCGAAAACCGCAAAAAUGUUUUUUCGCUACUCCUCCCACAUUUCCCGACCAAUUGACACAAAACUUUACACACGUCAUCUUCAGACC